GGAGGGAGUGAAAGAGUAGUACUUUCAGUGGGAGUGCACAAGAGUUCCAUUGUAAUAAACUUGUCAUCGUCAUCAGAUUUUGAAGUGACAUCUGAGUUUGGUAGACUAGUUUGGCUGAAUGAAACGGGGGGAGCAGUGGGUGAGGCUAUUUCUGUUGUUGAGGAUGACACCUUCACCAUAAACUUAUCGUCCCCAGAAGAUGUUGAAGUGGGGUCUGAUAGAGGCAAAAGAUCCGUCAUAACAUCAAGUCUGCGAGCUGUAGAAUGAUCUUCAAAGACGGACAUUUCUUUGGAGCAAGGGAAGGCACUAUCAGUGGCCACAGUCGAAAUUGAUUUCUGAUUGCAAGCACCAACAUCCACAAUGUGAUGCUCGUCAUACUUCUCGAUGGAGCAUGGUUCAGAAUUCUUAUUAUCAUGGGUUUCCUCCCCUAAACUAAAAGCAACCUCCGAGUGAGAUGAGUUAGUGGUAGACCAAGAGGGCCUUGAUCUCGUGGUUUCAGUUUCAGUAGCUCUUUCAUGACCUUGGAGCAUCUGCUCCGUUAAAUUCAUAAAAGGAGUUGUUGCAUCAUCACAGAGUUCAAAUCCUUGAAUUGACACAGAAGAACAAGCAGAAACACUACUUUCUGCUUGUGUUUCUUUUGAAGCUCCA
rnacentral:misc_RNA from 1 species